ACGGGGUGCAGCAGGCGCGAAACCUCCGCAAUACACGAAAGUGUGACGGGGUUACCCAAAGUGUUCAAUAGAACUGUGGUAGGUGAGUAAUGUUCCCUACUAGAAAGGAGAGGGCAAGGCUGGUGCCAGCCGCCGCGGUAAAACCAGCUCUUCAAGUGGUCGGGAUAAUUAUUGGGCUUAAAGUGUCCGUAGCCGGUUUAGUAAGUUCCUGGUAAAAUCGGGUAGCUUAACUAUCUGCAUGCUAGGAAUACUGCUAUACUAGAGGGCGGGAGAGGUCUGAGGUACUACAGGGGUAGGGGUGAAAUCUUAUAAUCCUUGUAGGACCACCAGUGGCGAAGGCGUCAGACUGGAACGCGCCUGACGGUGAGGGACGAAAGCCAGGGGAGCGAACCGGAUUAGAUACGUCAGUGCUAGUUUUAUAAUAAGACAACUAACACCACGCUAAAAACCCGGGUAGUCCUGGCCGUAAACGAUGCAUACUAGGUGAUGGCACGGCCAUGAGCCGUGUCAGUGCCGUAGGGAAACCGUUAAGUGUGCCGCCUAGGAAGUACGGUCGCAAGGCUAAAACUUAAAGGAAUUGGCGGGGGAGCACCACAAGGGGUGAAGCCUGCGGUUCAAUUGGACUCAACGCCGGGAAACUUACCAGGGGAGACAGUAGA
rnacentral:rRNA from 1 species